rnacentral:rRNA from 1 species
AGAGUUUGAUCAUGGCUCAGAGUGAACGCUGGCGGCGUGCUUAACACAUGCAAGUCGAACGGAUGAAAUAAGCUUGCUUAUUUCGUUAGUGGCGCACGGGUGGGUAAUGUAUAGCUAACCUGCCCUUUAGUGGGGGACAACAGUUGGAAACGACUGCUAAUACCCCAUACUCCAGCCUAUCAAAAGGUAGGUUGGGAAAGAUUUAUUGCUAAAGGAUGGGGCUUUAUGGUAUCAGCUAGUUGGUGGGGUAACGGCCUACCAAGGCAAUGACGCCUACCUGGUCUGAGAGGAUGAUCAGGCACACUGGAACUGAGACACGGUCCAGACUCCUACGGGAGGCAGCAGUGGGGAAUAUUGCACAAUGGGGGAAACCCUGAUGCCAGCAACGCCGCGUGGAGGAUGACGCAUUUCGGUGUGUAAACUCCUUUUAUAAGGGAAGAUAAUGACGGUACCUUAUGAAUAAGCACCGGCUAACUCCGUGCCAGCAGCGGC